rnacentral:rRNA from 1 species
UACGUAGGUGACGAGCGUUGUCCGGAUUUACUGGGCGUAAAGAGCGCGCAGGCGGUCGUUCAAGUCGAGUGUGAAAGCCCCCGGCUCAACUGGGGAGGGUCACUCGAUACUGAUCGACUCGAAGGCAGGAGAGGGUAGUGGAAUUCCCGGUGUAGUGGUGAAAUGCGUAGAUAUCGGGAGGAACACCGAUGGCGAAGGCAAUCCCCUGGGCCUGCACUGACGCUCAUGCACGAAAGCGUGGGGAGCAAACAGG